UACGUAGGAUGCAAGCGUUGUCCGGAUUUACUGGGCGUAAAGCGCGCGCAGGCGGCACAUUAAGUAAGGUGUGAAAUAUCCCGGCUCAACCGGGAGGGUGCACUUUAGACUGAUGAGCUUGAGGUCGGUAGAGGGGGGUGGAAUUGCUGGUGUAGCGGUGAAAUGCGUAGAUAUUGGGAGGAACACCAGUGGCGAAGGCGGCUCACUGGACCGGUACUGACGCUGAGGCGCGAAAGCGUGGGGAGCAACGGG
rnacentral:rRNA from 1 species